ACGUCGUCGGAGCUCGACGAAGCCGGCAGAGUCCAGUAUAUCUUUGGUCCCGUGACUGCUGUUCCGGUGAGUUUUGUGCCGAUCGUCGACAGCGAGUGGCAGCGGCGAUCUUACCAUAGACACCACCAAUCCGUGCCCUAGCUGUGAACGCGAAGGUCCAUCGCCGGUGCUUUGCCUUUGGAUCGUUGCUUUGUGAGAGCAGAUCGCUGAUCAAGAAGGGAGGUCUUAGCCCUAGCCUCGACCUUUCCUCUGCAUCGCCGGCUUGGAUCUACUGUCUUGGGUUCUAGCUUCCAUUUCGCACACGUAGGUUGUGCUGUUCUGGUGGUGGACAGCAGCUCGAUCCGGGCAGAGAGGAGGCUCUGUUCCUUUUGAUUGAGUG